rnacentral:lncRNA from 1 species
AUGCUCACAAGUCUCAUCCUUGACUUAUUGAUUUGGGCUCAUCUGGGAAUUAACUACCUCCAUCAGCUGAUGGGAAUUGUCUUUCCACAUUCUAGCUGGAAAAUAGGCUGUCUGAGCUUCUGCAGAAAACAUUCAAAGAGUGAUGGGCAAAAACGACCAUCGUUUCAACGGGACUCGCUGGCUACAUCUCUGCGGCUUCUUGCUGACCACAGCCAGAGCAGUAAGGAAGAUAACUUGACAACUUUAUGCCAUCUUCUGUCACUCUGAAUGCUGGAGCCACUUGUCCCUGAGUUACAAAACACCAAACGUCUUCUCUCCAUCAUCUGACAGUGAGAUGAAUCUUACCUGCUGACGUGAUUGCUGCUGUCCGGCCAAGAGUAUGCUCAUUUGCCAAAUACAUCAUGUUCAAAACUGGCUGAGUCCUGAAAUAAAUCUCUUACCUCUUUAUAUUUCCCA